AAGCUCGUAGUUGAAUUUCGGGAUUAGUACGUCGGUCGUGCCUUAGGUACGUACUGGUGUUACUGGUUCCUACCUUCUGACGAACCAUCAUGUCAUUAAUUUGGUGUGGUGGGGAAUCAGGACUGUUACUUUGAAAAAAUUAGAGUGUUUAAAGCAGGCUCGCGCUUGAAUACAUUAGCAUGGUAUAAUGAAAUAGGACGUUGAUCCUAUUUUGUUGGUUUCUAGGAUUGACGUAAUGAUUAAUAGGGAUAGUUGGG
rnacentral:rRNA from 1 species